rnacentral:ncRNA from 1 species
GAGAGCAGGUUUCUCGGAAUCGGUAUUCAGGUGCAGGUCUCAAACCGCCUGUUGGUGCCGCAGUCAAAAGCUGCGGUAUUGAGCGUUACAGGAAAAGGUUGAUACAUCAAUCAGGU